UUUCCGUAGGUGAACCUGCGGAAGGAUCAUUAUUGAAUGAACUUGACGUGGUUGAGCUGGCCCUUUCGAGGGCAUGUGCACGCUCGUCAUCUUUAUCUCUCCACCUGUGCACACUUUGUAGACUUGGAUAGUACUUUCCGAGGUAACUCGGUUGGGAGGACUGCUGUGUGUUUUUUAUGCCAGCUUUCCUUGCAUUGUCCAGGCCUAUGUUUUUCAUAUGCCCAAAAAAUGUAACAGAAUGUAUUAUUGGGCCUUGUGCCUAUAAACUAUAUACAACUUUCAGCAACGGAUCUCUUGGCUCUC
rnacentral:misc_RNA from 1 species